UACAGAGGUCCCAAGCGUUGUUCGGAUUUACUGGGCGUAAAGGGUGCGUAGGCGGUGGGGUAAGUUUGAGGUGAAAGCUCCGGGCUCAACCCGGAAACUGCCUUGAAAACUAUCCGGCUAGAGGGUUGGAGGGGAGACUGGAAUUCUCGGUGUAGCAGUGAAAUGCGUAGAUAUGCGGAGGAACACCGAUGGCGAAGGCAAUCCCCUGGGCCUGCACUGACGCUCAUGCACGAAAGCGUGGGGAGCAAACAGG
rnacentral:rRNA from 1 species